AGAUAAUACAGCAUCUUAUGUGAGACAACCAGAGUCGUCGUCAUACACAUCUAGUGGAAACACAGAAUAUUUUCCUUCUGACAUAAAGGGAAGCCCAAAACAGCACCAGACUGCCCAUGCUGAUACUACCGCUACUAUAGCAGAGGUUCAUGCCCCAUGGAAACCCAAAAUGCUUCAUUUGCAUAG